rnacentral:rRNA from 1 species
UACCAGCACCCCGAGUGGUCGGGACGUUUAUUGGGCCUAAAGCAUCCGUAGCCGGUUCUACAAGUCUUCCGUUAAAUCCAGCCGCUCAACGGUUGGGCUGCGGAGGAUACUACCGUGGCUAGGAGGCGGGAGAGGCAAGCGGUACUCAGUGGGUAGGGGUAAAAUCCUUUGAUCCAUUGAAGACCACCAGUGGCGAAGGCGGCUUGCCAGAACGCGCUCGACGGUGAGGGAUGAAAGCGGGGGAGCAACCGG